rnacentral:lncRNA from 1 species
CCUGAUCAUGGAAGGAGUCUGAGCCCAUUUUCGAACAAACUGAAUUAUUAGCAUUACGUGAAACUUAGCCAAUGACAAUGAAACAGAGCUAAUAAAAAAAUCUCACACCAUUACACAAGCUUUGUGAUUUGUUGAACCAUACUCAUCAUUUGAAUCACAAUUCUCAAAAAAAUGCAAAUGUCACACGUGAACUCCACAAGACAAAAUGCCAGGAGUUCGUGACACAAUGUUCAAAUCCUGAAGGCAGAACUAAGCUAAAAAUAAACCCAUUUAAGCUAAAUCACAUCUUAACAAUUGCCAAAGGCAAACAAAACAUUAAUAAUAUUGAGACUUGCUACCCCAAUCCAGCAAAACUAUGACAUUGAGCGAUCCAUUUAAAAGCUACAGAAAUUGUCUUUAGCAUAUGGCCCAAAAAUCGAAUCCACUGCACUCACUCAAACCCAUAUACUAACCUUAAAACAAACAAGUAAUAUCAACAGCUACAUUUGACGGCCAAACCAAGGCAGACAUUAUCUAACAUAUGAUGUUCAGAACUCAGAUUUGAAUUACAGAUUAUAGCUUGAAGGGUAGUAAAUGCAAUUCUCUAAAUAAAAUGAAACGGGCAAAUAAGCUAAUCUGCGACCAAACUUAUUGAAGAAUACGAAUCAAAGUUCCAGAUCUCCAUUUCUUGAUUCCAAAUCAACUUUACACUUAGAGGGAAUGUAGAAGUGUACCUGAGAUUGAGAGAACAAAGAAAUAAAGAGGGAUCAGCAGUGUUAACAACAGGGAUCAACAACAGCAACAACAAUAGAGCCCAGCAAAACAGAAAGUGAACCAACAGACCAAUUUUUAAACUAGCAGAUAAGAUACAAUAAUCCAAACACUAAUUUAAGUCACUCGAUGGACCAUCAGACCUCAAGACAAACUCGACUUCAACCCAUAUUAAAACCAGCUAACCAGAAAAUUGUUUUAGCACCAAGAAAACCUCAAAAAUCACCAAAAAGAAAUCAACGAAACAGUGUUGUUCUAAAGUUUUUCAGCCCUUUGUCUUUUUCUCUUAGAACUUUAGCUCUUGAAGUCUAUGAAAUAGUAAAAUUUAUGCAGCUUCUGUAUUUUUCUGGAUUUCCAGCUCUCAAA